ensembl:snoRNA LOC120103319 small nucleolar RNA SNORA17
CCUGCCCCUAGAGGCAUGGCAGGUGUGGCUGCUGUGUCACAUAUUCCUCGGUAGGUGGCAGAGGGGAGAGAGACUAUGUCCAUGCUGUGUUUUGACCUAUAGACACUGAGCCCAAGACAGACAACCAUC